rnacentral:rRNA from 1 species
AUUGAACGCUGGCGGCAGGCCUAACACAUGCAGGUCGAGCGGAUGAGGGGAGCUUGCUCCUGGAUUCAGCGGCGGACGGGUGAGUAAUGCCUAGGAAUCUGCCUGGUAGUGGGGGAUAACGUCCGGAAACGGGCGCUAAUACCGCAUACGUCCUGAGGGAGAAAGUGGGGGAUCUUCGGACCUCACGCUAUCAGAUGAGCCUAGGUCGGAUUAGCUAGUUGGUGGGGUAAAGGCCUACCAAGGCGACGAUCCGUAACUGGUCUGAGAGGAUGAUCAGUCACACUGGAACUGAGACACGGUCCAGACUCCUACGGGAGGCAGCAGUGGGGAAUAUUGGACAAUGGGCGAAAGCCUGAUCCAGCCAUGCCGCGUGUGUGAAGAAGGUCUUCGGAUUGUAAAGCACUUUAAGUUGGGAGGAAGGGCAGUAAGUUAAUACCUUGCUGUUUUGACGUUACCAACAGAAUAAGCACCGGCUAACUUCGUG